rnacentral:snoRNA from 1 species
AUAAUAAAACAUGCAUAGUUCAGCAGAUAGAAUCAUGAAGAGAUUUACCAUUUGUCUGAUAU